rnacentral:rRNA from 2 species
AGGUGCAAUCAUACCAGCACUAAUGCAUCGGAUCCCAUCAGAACUGUACAGUUAAGCGUGCUUGGGUGAGAGUAGUACUAGGAAGGGUGACUGUUGAAAGAUGAAUUUGAGAGGGUUUCCCCCU